AGCGUUGUUCGGAUUCACUGGGCGUAAAGGGUGCGUAGGCGGUCGGGUAAGUCUGAUGUGAAAUCUCACAGCUUAACUGUGAAACUGCAUUGGAUACUAUCCGGCUAGAGGAAUGGAGGGGAGACUGGAAUACUUGGUGUAGCAGUGAAAUGCGUAGAUAUCAAGUGGAACACCAGUGGCGAAGGCGAGUCUCUGGACAUUUCCUGACGCUGAGGCACGAAAGCCAGGGGAGCAAACGGG
rnacentral:rRNA from 1 species